CAGCAGCCGCGGUAAUACCGGCGGCCCGAGUGGCGGUCACUAUUAUUGGGCUUAAAGCGUCCGUAGCCGGGUUGGGAAGUCCUCCGGGAAAUCUGGCCGCUUAACGGUCAGAAUGCCGGAGGAUACUCCCAGCCUAGGGGGCGGGGGAGGCCGAGGGGAUUCCCGGAGGAGGGGGGAAAUCCUAUAAUCCCGGGAGGACCACCUGUGGCGAAGGCGCUCGGCUGGAACGCGUCCGACGGUGAGGGACGAAGGCCAGGGGAGCAAACCGGAUUAGAUACCCGGGUAGUCCUGGCUGUAAACGAUGCGGACUUUGUGUCGGACAAGCUAUGAGCUUGUCCGGUGCCGGAGGGAAACCGUUAAGUCCGCCGCCUGGGGAGUACGGCCGCAAGGCUGAAACUUAAAGGAAUUGGCGGG
rnacentral:rRNA from 1 species